GACGAACGCUGGCGGCGUGCUUAACACAUGCAAGUCGAACGGAAAGGCCCUGCUUUUGUGUGGUGCUCGAGUGGCGAACGGGUGAGUAACACGUGAGUAACCUUCCCUGGACUUUGGGAUAACUUCAGGAAACUGGGGCUAAUACCGGAUAGGAGCUCCUGCUGCAUGGUGGGGGUUGGAAAGUUUAGGCGGUUGGGGAUGGACUCGCGGCUUAUCAGCUUGUGGGUGGGGUAGUGGCUUACCAAGGCUUUGACGGGUAGCCGGCCUGGGAGGGUGACCGGGCACAUUGGGCCUAAGAUACGGCCCAGACUCCUACGGGAGGCAGCAGUGGGGAAUAUUGCACAAUGGGCGGAAGCCUGAUGCAGCAGCGCCGCGUGCGGGAUGACGGCCUUCGGGUUGUAAACCGCUUUCGCCUGUGACGAAGCGUGAGUGACGGUAAUGGGUAAAGAAGCACCGGCUAACUACGUG
rnacentral:rRNA from 1 species